UACAGAGGUGGCAAGCGUUGUUCGGAAUUACUGGGCGUAAAGGGCGCGUAGGCGGCCUUCUAAGUCAGACGUGAAAUCCCCCGGCCUAACCUGGGAACUGCGUCUGAUACUGGAGGGCUUGAGUGCGGGAGAGGGAUGUGGAAUUCUCGGUGUAGCGGUGAAAUGCGUAGAUAUCGGGAGGAACAUCAGUGGCGAAGGCGGCUACCUGGAUCAACACUGACACUGAGGCACGAAAGCGUGGGUAGCAAACAGG
rnacentral:rRNA from 1 species